GAUGAAGAACGUAGCGAAAUGCGAUAAGUAAUGUGAAUUGCAGAAUUCAGUGAAUCAUCGAAUCUUUGAACGCACAUUGCGCCCGCCAGUAUUCUGGCGGGCAUGCCUGUUCGAGCGUCAUUUCAACCAUCAAGCCCCAGGCUUGUGUUGGAGCCCUGCGGCUGCCGCAGCCUCCCAAAACCAGUGGCGGGCUCGCUAUCACACCGAGUGCAGUAGUUUACUCUUCGCUCAGGGCGUGUGGCGGGUGCUAGCCGUAAAACCCCCAACUUCUCAAGGUCGACCUCGGAUCAGGUAGGAAUACCCGCUGAACUUAAGCAUAUCAAUAAGCGGAGGA
rnacentral:misc_RNA from 1 species